GACCAGGUUCAUCUCCCACUUGAAGAUGAAAUAGACCUUCUCAAAGAAGACGUAGAAAGAGGGCCCUUAGCUUUCAUUUUAGGCAUGGUUUCGGUUUAUAUUUAAAGAUGGAAAUGGUCACUAGAAGACAAAUUAAAAGCUCUCAAAUACAAGUGUUUAAGCCCAAAAACCUCAUAUCCAUUCUUGAAGAAUGAAGAACAACCUAAUGAAGCCAAUGGAUAGUUUGAAUGAAAAUGCUGCAGUUCAGGAAAAGUCUAAAACUGUUUUCACUAGAAGCUGAAAAAUGAAAGAAUGGGGAACAUGAAUGAAUUUUCAAAAAAUCCUAUCUUUGAGUCUUGAACAAAGACAUGGCCCAAGUCCUAAAUAAUAAAAGUGAGUUCAUUCACUUCUCUGAUGGACACCUGCAGAAGAGAGCUGUCCUCCCAGAGGGGAAUGUGGAUGGCAGUGACUGGGAAUUGCAUACCAAGUGAAUCCAAAAGUAGAAACGACCUGAACAGUCAGGCACAAGUCAUUUUUGCAGAAACCAGACUCUGCUGCUAAGUUCACUGCUUCUUUAAAUACCCCAGGAAGAAGAAAGACAGGAUAUAGACAACAAGACAUCUGAAGGAAAAGCAAAUAAUUGAAGUGAUCUGAGUUCAAAUUAAAAUUUCCAAAUUGAGCAAGCAUCUUUGCAGUCAGAAAAUGUACAAUCAGAAAGUGAAAUUCAAAAGCUUCAGCAGAAAUUCAAAAUACCAUCUGAAAUAUAUUGGGAACAUAUAACAAAACGCCAAAGCAAAUUACUUGAGGAAGAAAUUUACCACUUAUAGAAUGAGAAGACAUUUUCUGAAGUACAUGAAAAUGUCAGCCAUGCCCCCUAAGUACCUCGAGAUGACCCAAAGCUGGCCAAAGUGCUUGAAUGUACCACUUUUUUUUUUUCUUCAAUGCCAGAUUUUCUCCUAUGGGGAAGAAACUUGCAAACAUUGGCUGUCAGUGAUGUCCACUGAGAAAAAGCUUAGUAACUUAAGAAAAGGUGAUGUGCAUGACAGUCACUAAUUACCUGAAGAAGACUCUACAUAUCAGCUUU
rnacentral:lncRNA from 1 species